rnacentral:rRNA from 1 species
GAACGGGUGAGUAACACGUGGGCAAUCUGCCCUUCACUCUGGGACAAGCCCUGGAAACGGGGUCUAAUACCGGAUAUCACUUCCGCAGGCAUCUGCGGAGGUCGAAAGCUCCGGCGGUGAAGGAUGAGCCCGCGGCCUAUCAGCUUGUUGGUGAGGUAACGGCUCACCAAGGCGACGACGGGUAGCCGGCCUGAGAGGGCGACCGGCCACACUGGGACUGAGACACGGCCCAGACUCCUACGGGAGGCAGCAGUGGGGAAUAUUGCACAAUGGGCGAAAGCCUGAUGCAGCGACGCCGCGUGAGGGAUGACGGCCUUCGGGUUGUAAACCUCUUUCAGCAGGGAAGAAGCGAAAGUGACGGUACCUGCAGAAGAAGCGCCGGCUAACUACGUGCCAGCAGCCGCGGUAAUACGUAGGGCGCAAGCGUUGUCCGGAAUUAUUGGGCGUAAAGAGCUCGUAGGCGGCUUGUCACGUCGGGUGUGAAAGCCCGGGGCUUAACCCCGGGUCUGCAUUCGAUACGGGCUAGCUAGAGUGUGGUAGGGGAGAUCGGAAUUCCUGGUGUAGCGGUGAAAUGCGCAGAUAUCAGGAGGAACACCGGUGGCGAAGGCGGAUCUCUGGGCCAUUACUGACGCUGAGGAGCGAAAGCGUGGGGAGCGAACAGGAUUAGAUACCCUGGUAG